rnacentral:rRNA from 1 species
UACGUAGGGUGCGAGCGUUGUCCGGAAUUAUUGGGCGUAAAGAGCUUGUAGGCGGUUUGUCGCGUCUGCUGUGAAAAUCCGGGGCUCAACCCCGGACUUGCAGUGGGUACGGGGCAGACUAGAGUGUGGUAGGGGGAGACUGGAAUUCCUGGUGUAGCGGUGGAAUGCGCAGAUAUCAGGAGGAACACCGAUGGCGAAGGCAGAUCUCUGGGCCGUAACUGACGCUGAGGAGCGAAAGCGUGGGGAGCGAACAGG